rfam:Zea mays cultivar B73 chromosome 9, whole genome shotgun sequence.
AGCAAAAUGAGGAGUUCAUAUGAUCUGAAGUAUCUAUGUUUGUUGAUAUAUCCAUUUGUGGUCUUCAAAGUUCUCUGAUUGCU